GAUGAAGAACGUAGCGAAAUGCGAUAAGUAAUGUGAAUUGCAGAAUUCCGUGAAUCAUCGAAUCUUUGAACGCACAUUGCGCCCUUUGGUAUUCCAAAGGGCAUGCCUGUUCGAGCGUCAUUUGUACCCUCAAGCUUUGCUUGGUGUUGAGCGUCUUGUCUCUAGCUUUGCUGGAGACUCGCCUUAAAGUAAUUGGCAGCCGGCCUACUGGUUUCGGAGCGCAGCACAAGUCGCACUCUCUAUCAGCAAAGGUCUAGCAUCCAUUAAGCCUUUUUUUUCAACUUUUGACCUCGGAUCAGGUAGGGAUACCCGCUGAACUUAAGCAUAUCAAUAAGCGGAGGA
rnacentral:misc_RNA from 1 species